AAAAAGAGAACAUGCUGGGAGCCGGAGGAGGUCAAGGACAAUAGAAUAUUGUGCAUAAAAGAUAAAUACGACAUGGAGUCUUUCUCAGCCGAGUCCGAAGAUGAGAACACUGAAGACGAGUGUGUCACUAAAGGUAACAAUACUCAAAAAGGCAACAGUCGCCGGAAGCAUCACAUCUCAUGGACUCUUUCUGAGGUUAUGAAGUUGGUAGAAGGUGUUUCAGAGUAUGGAGUUGGAAGGUGGACAGAAAUAAAGAGACUACAGUUUGCAUCAUCUUCACAUAGAACAUCUGUGGAUCUCAAGGACAAAUGGAGAAAUCUAUUGAAGGCAAGUGAUACACAGUUGCAAAACAGAAGAAAG
rnacentral:misc_RNA from 1 species